UACGAAGGGGGCUAGCGUUGUUCGGAAUUACUGGGCGUAAAGGGCACGUAGGCGGCCUUCCAAGUCAGGAGUGAAAGCCCUGGGCUCAACCCGGGAAUUGCUCUUGAAACUGGAAAGCUUGAGUUCGAGAGAGGUGAGUGGAAUACCCAGUGUAGAGGUAAAAUUCGUAGAUAUUGGGUGGAACACCAGUGGCGAAGGCGGCUCACUGGCUCGAAACUGACGCUGAGGCGCGAAAGCGUGGGGAUCAAACAGG
rnacentral:rRNA from 1 species